rnacentral:lncRNA from 1 species
AUGGCCAGGGCCGUGUGGGGCGCCCGUUUUGCAGAGCCGUGCCGAAGCAGGGGCUGGGUCUGGGGUCCCGCCUCGCCCCCCGCCACUCGUCCCUCGUCCCUCCCACCUCGCCCCCGAUGCCACCUCGUGCGCCGCUGCGCCCGCUGCCCGAAGUCCUUCCGCAGCCGCUCCAGCUCUGCCUGCAGCUGGGAGACGCCGGCCUCGGCCUCCCGCAGGGUGCGCCGCAACCGGGCGUUCUCCUGGCGGGCAGAGUCCCGCUGGCACCGGCGGCGCAGCCCGGGGCCGCACCCCCCCCCCCGCCCCGCGCCCGUACCUGCGUGGCGGCCCCGAGCCGCUGCUGCAGCCGCGCGACGCCCGCGCCCCGCCCGCGCCCCUGCAUGGCCGGGGGAAGGGGGGGGCACAGGCGGCAGCCCCGCUCCGGUGCCGCCCUCCCCGCUCGGCUCCUGGGGCCGGUGGGCGCGGGGCGACGGCGGACCCGCGACGGUCCCGGUCGGGCGCGAGCAGCCGCGCGGGGCUCCCGUCGGGCGGCAGCGGGGCCCCGCCGGGGCCGCCCCCGCCGUGUUUGCUCUGCGGGCGGGGCGGGGGCCCGGGGCCGGCCCCGCAUUCCUGCGGCCGCGCUCGUACCGCGCCCUCCGGCCGCCGGCCCCUCCGGGUGCUGGGGGCAGUGUCCGUCCGUCUGUCCGUCCGUCCGUCCGUCCGUUCUUCGCGCGGCUGGGCUUGGCCGCGGCGAGCGGAAUGGGAGCGUGGCGUGACUGCGGUGCUGGGAGAGGGGCGGCUGUGGUGGUGGCACGGGACGGGACGGGGUGGGGUGGGGUGGGGUGGGGUGGGAGUGGACACGGGGAUCAGGUGCAGAUGGGGACGGAAGCAGCCCUGGUGCCAGGGCUGGGUGCAGGGCCUGCUGCUGGCUGGGGGCUGGGGCAGGACCAAGGGCGCUCCCUGGCUGCUCCCUGCCAGGCCAGGCCCCUGCCCUCUGCCCCCGCAGGGCUGGGGGCCGCUGGGGUAUUGCUGGCACCUGUCAUGCCCAGCUCCAUGGCUGCUGUGUGCAUGUGGGGCAGAUGGCAUACGCUUCACUCAGAGCUUUACAUUAAAAAAAAAUGUAUUCAAGGAGCUAUUUACAAUAACCACACGGCCAGGCAGGCGAGCUGA